CGACGGAGUACCCUUGAAGAGUUUUCGGACAACUGAGAGGACUACUUAGUGGCGGACGGGUGAGUAACGCGUGAGUAACCUGCCUUGGAGUGGGGAAUAACAGCUGGAAACAGCUGCUAAUACCGCAUGAUGCAGUUGGGUCGCAUGGCUCUGACUGCCAAAGAUUCAUCGCUCUGAGAUGGACUCGCGUCUGAUUAGCUGGUUGGUGGGGUAAUGGCCCACCAAGGCGACGAUCAGUAGCCGGACUGAGAGGUUGGCCGGCCACAUUGGGACUGAGACACGGCCCAGACUCCUACGGGAGGCAGCAGUGGGGAAUAUUGGGCAAUGGGCGCAAGCCUGACCCAGCAACGCCGCGUGAAGGAAGAAGGCUUUCGGGUUGUAAACUUCUUUUCUCAGGGACGAAGAAAGUGACGGUACCUGAGGAAUAAGCCACGGCUAACUACGUGCCAGCAGCCGCGGUAAUACGUAGGUGGCAAGCGUUAUCCGGAUUUACUGGGUGUAAAGGGCGUGUAGGCGGGAAAGCAAGUCAGAUGUGAAAACCACGGGCUCAACCUGUGGCCUGCAUUUGAAACUGUUUUUCUUGAGUACUGGAGAGGCAGACGGAAUUCCUAGUGUAGCGGUGAAAUGCGUAGAUAUUAGGAGGAACACCAGUGGCGAAGGCGGUCUGCUGGACAGCAACUGACGCUGAGGCGCGAAAGCGUGGGGAGCAAACAGGAUUAGAUACCCUGGUAGUCCACGCUGUAAACGAUGGAUACUAGGUGUGGGGGGACUGACCCCCUCCGUGCCGCA
rnacentral:rRNA from 1 species